GGGAGGCAUUUUCCAGUGCUGUCUCAUUAAGCAGAUGACCUGCAGACAUUGUCAGCACAACCCAGCCAAGGUGAUUGAUCACCAGAGAAUAGAGGACUUGGUAUAGCAAGUAUCACAUCACCUGGAAUAUUAAAGAAUAUGGAAUUUCCUGUUACAUUCCAGCCCUACCUAGCCCAGUUUUUUUGUGAGAUAUUUAGCAGAAAUCCUGGCCAGCAAGAGGACAUACUUGAUUUUUCUUUUUCCAUCAAUACAGACAUAAUGAUAAUCACCAGGAGACUAAAUACAUGUGAAAGGCAAAAUGAGAAGGCCACAGUGAAGAAGAGAGUCAUUCAUCCAAGCCAAAAUUUAGGGAAGGGAUCAGCUCCCUGGUAUUUAAAGAUGAGUGGGGAAGAGCUUUGUGUGGGGGCAGGACCUGUGUACAACAUGUUGAGAGAGAAGCUCACUAGACUUCUGAUUGGAAGUCUUCAUUUCCUUUCUAGAGGCCCAUGGAUCCUUGGAUUCUGUGCAAAUGUAGAGAUUACAAUCUAGAUUCCCAAGGAUAGAAAUUUCUACAUGUGUG
rnacentral:lncRNA from 1 species